rnacentral:rRNA from 1 species
UACGUAGGGUGCAAGCGUUGUCCGGAAUUAUUGGGCGUAAAGAGCUCGUAGGCGGUUUGUCGCGUCGGCUGUGAAAACCUGGGGCUCAACCCCGGGCCUGCAGCCGAUACGGGCAAACUAGAGUUCGGCAGGGGAGACUGGAAUUCCUGGUGUAGCGGUGAAAUGCGCAGAUAUCAGGAGGAACACCGGUGGCGAAGGCGGGUCUCUGGGCCGAUACUGACGCUGAGGAGCGAAAGCGUGGGGAGCGAACAGG